UACGUAGGGACCGAGCGUUGUCCCGAUUCAUUGGGCGUAAAGAGCACGCAGGCGGUUUGGCAAGACAGAUGUGAAAUCCCCGGGCUCAACCUGGGAACUGCAUUUGUGACUGCAAGGCUAGAGUACGGUAGAGGGGGAUGGAAUUCCGCGUGUAGCAGUGAAAUGCGUAGAUAUGCGGAGGAACACCGAUGGCGAAGGCAAUCCCCUGGACCUGUACUGACGCUCAUGCACGAAAGCGUGGGGAGCAAACAGG
rnacentral:rRNA from 1 species